UCCUACGGGAGGCAGCAGUGAGGAAUCUUGCACAAUGGGCGAAAGCCUGAUGCAGCGACGCCGCGUGGAGGAUGACGGUCUUCGGGUUGUAAACUCCUUUUCUUAGGGAAAAUGAUGAUGGUACCUAAGGAAUAAGCCACGGCUAACUCUGUGCCAGCAGCCGCGGUAAGACAGAGGUGGCGAGCGUUGUUCGGAAUCACUGGGCUUAAAGGGCGAGUAGGCGUCCUGACAAGUCAGGUGUGGAAUCUUUUCGCUUAACGAAAAAAUUGCAUUCGAAACUGUCGGGAUUGAGUCAGUGAGGGGAGGGCGGAAUUCCCGGUGUAGCGGUGAAAUGCGUAGAUAUCGGGAGGAAGGCCGGUGGCGAAGGCGGCCCUCUGGCGCUGAACUGACGCUGAGGCGCGAAAGCGUGGGGAGCAAACAGGAUUAGAUACCCCAGUAGUCCAAGCCG
rnacentral:rRNA from 1 species